rnacentral:rRNA from 1 species
CAGUAGCCACGGGAAUACGUAGGGUGCAAGCGUUGUCCGGAAUUAUUGGGCGUAAAGAGCUCGUAGGCGGUUUGUCGCGUCUGCUGUGAAAACGCGAGGCUCAACCUCGCGCCUGCAGUGGGUACGGGCAGACUAGAGUGUGGUAGGGGAGAUUGGAAUUCCUGGUGUAGCGGUGGAAUGCGCAGAUAUCAGGAGGAACACCGAUGGCGAAGGCAGAUCUCUGGGCCAUUACUGACGCUGAGGAGCGAAAGCGUGGGGAGCGAACAGGAUUAGAUACCCGAGUAGUCCCUGUCUCUUAUAC